rnacentral:rRNA from 1 species
GAUGAACGCUGGUGGCGUGCUUAACACAUGCAAGUCGAACGAUGAUGCCAGCUUGCUGGUGGAUUAGUGGCGAACGGGUGAGUAACACGUGAGUAACCUGCCCUUAACUCUGGGAUAAGCCUGGGAAACUGGGUCUAAUACCGGAUAUGACUCCUCAUCGCAUGGUGGGGGGUGGAAAGCUUUAUUGUGGUUUUGGAUGGACUCGCGGCCUAUCAGCUUGUUGGUGAGGUAAUGGCUCACCAAGGCGACGACGGGUAGCCGGCCUGAGAGGGUGACCGGCCACACUGGGACUGAGACACGGCCCAGACUCGUACGGGAGGCAGCAGUAGGGAAUAUUGCACAAUGGGCGAAAGCCUGAUGCAGCGACGCCGCGUGAGGGAUGACGGCCUUCGGGUUGUAAACCUCUUUCAGUAGGGAAGAAGCGAAAGUGACGGUACC